GGAGAGGUGUCCGAGAGGCCGAAGGAGCACGCCUGGAAAGUGUGUAUACGUAAAAAGCGUAUCGGGGGUUCGAAUCCCCUCCUCUCCU
rnacentral:tRNA from 1 species